GUCAAAAGUCUGAGAUCCUUUUUGUGCUUUAAAUCUACAAUAAUGUUAUAUAGAUUCUUGAUUUUUGACCAAAGCAAAACAGGAUAUGUUGCUUGUUUUAUUGAAAUAUUGUGAUUGUGAUUUUUGUGGCUCGUGAGUGCUUUCAGUUUGAUGAUGUCUGGCACGCAGUGGGAAUAGUUGGGACACCGCCGACUUAUGCAAUUAAAGACAACACAGAUCACGUACUAAAUGAGUCACAUGAAAUAAAAACAGCUCUAAACGUCUCCCAUCUCACAACUGAUGGAGGAAUCAUUUAGUCAUUUAGAGCCUCCAAACAAUGCCUCCAAACAAUGCCUCCAAACAAAAUGUUGUUGAAAAUGUAAAAAAAAAAAGAAAAAAGAUGAAUUUACCAACAACCAAAAAAAAAAAAACCCCACAUGGCUGGAAAAAUUUUAGACAGAGCUAUUUAGUCUAUGUAUUUACGGCAAGUGGCUUACGGGUGUUUUGUGUUUGGAAGAAAUCAGACGUUUUCCAAACAUCUGCUUACACGGAUCCACACUCACCACACCCAGACACCUGAUGUCACCAAACUAUGUUCUAUGAAACGAUAGAAUCUAUAUUUUCCAAAGGUCUGAUGACAUCACGAUAGGCUGAUGUCUGGCCGCUCUCGGUGCUGAGAUGGAGGUAGAACGAGAGCUGGAGAGAGAGAGAGAGAGAGCGAUGGACUGACUGAGUCGGAUCCACUGAGAUCAAAGUCCAGCUUUGCUUCUGUUUGCCGUUUUGUUUUAUUUUUGGAAGGCGACAUUCAGAACCGCAGGUCGUGACCCUUAUUAAGCGGCGACCCAACAAGACUCCAACAGUGAGGCGUCAUCCGUUUUCUGAGCGCUCUGGACCUGUUGGACCUCAAAGAUCCUCCUGUGGGCAGGUGAGCCAAAUGCAGACAAAAUCCUGGAGUAGUGAACGUACAUUUAAAGCUAAAUCCUUCAUCUGGUCAUCAGAUUUCAUUUAGUUUUCAAAAAGUGUAAGUUUUGCUUAUUUGCGUAAUUUAUCAUUGAAAUGUUUUAAUUAAUGGGAUUAGUUAGAACAUUUUUGGAUUCAAUUUGUGACCGGAUCCAAUACAGUCAUUCAAUUUUCAAUAUGAGUGCCAACAUUGUGAUCUGGAGCACACAGACGCUGUCUCUGCCCAUUUCCUGUCUGGUGGCCGUCAAUAAAGGCCAGUAGUGCUAAAAAAAAAAUUAUAUAUACAUAUACAUGCUGUAUAUAUGUAUAUAUAAUUCUGACAAAAUUUUUUAUUCUUCAGAUUACGUUUUGGUAUAUUAGACUGAUAUAAAUAUGUUUUUUUAAUACUCGCUGUUGCUUUGGCCUUAUCGCUCUACGCUACGACUUCACUUCAGCAGGUUUUAGCAGCCUGCAGUAAAACUACACUGUGAUGUUUAUUCUGCACUAAGAUAAAGACAAUAGAGCGGUUUAUUAUAUAUAUAUAUAAUAUUAAUAUUAUAUAUAAUAUUAAUUCUAAACAAGGUGCCAUCAAAGAAAAUGCAAAUUAAACCAAUCAGCUAGCCUACACUUUUUGGAGUUUUAACAUGAAUAGUUUGGUCAUGCUGUCAGAUAUGUGAAGGUAUUCGUAGAAAAGGGUUUUAGUAGUAGAAAAAUUGUGUGUGUGACUAUCAGGUGAAGCCGUCCAAUAAAGAAUACAAGGUUUCCAGUUGUGUUCAUUUUAGCCAGAAUGCUACAGUGUUGCUCCAGUGUCGCUACAGAGUUGCUAGCACGGGAUGUCAGCUCCAGUGGACUCUACAGACUCCUGAACAGUUCAUCAUCAUCAAGUUUAUUCUGACAUUAUUUAUUUAUUAUUAUUAUUAUUUAGGACGCAGACGAUAUGACCAUCUCCAAGAACUACCACUCCAUGUCCCAGAAAGGUAGCCUGUCUGUUGUUUCCCACCAUCAGUUUUCCUAAUCUUUGCCAUACUACGUGUCUUAGCCAAUAAGCUGGGACUUUGCAAUAUUUUCCUGAUUUUACUCAAACAAGUAAAAGGAAUAUUGAAACGCAGCCCAGUUUGUUCGUCUGCGGAGUCUAUUGUUCUCUGUGCCGGUGGUUUCCUGUCUGUCGCUCAGCUCGUUAUUUCAGAGAAGAGCGAGACGUCGCAGCUGCUGCCGUCCGGUCGGCUUUGGUCUCAAGGCAACUUUUCCAGUGAACUUCCAAAAAGUAAAAUCGUCUCUGGGCGAAUUCUAUCCAUUUUGUUCAUCCCUACAUGUUGCAUUUUGAUUCAGAGGACGCAGAGCCUUAUCGUGCUGUGCAAACAGUAUAUGCCAACUUCUUCUGUUUUGCUUUUUGUCAUUCUUACAUGUUCCAGACUUAUGUUUUUUUUUUUGUUUUUUUUUACAUCAGUAAAUACAAAAUGUGUGUUAUUUAAAUGUUGAUCUUAUUUGUUGAGGGGGAACAAAACUUAACAUUUAUUUAAAAGUUACUACCUCUUAAGUACUGCUUCUGCCACACUUGGGAGCAAAUCUGCUACCCAACGACGUCAGUCUUUGCGAUAACCGGCAAUAAGUCUAUUAGGUUGUUUUCAUUCAGUUGUAGAUCAUGCAAGAUUUAAACUUUGACUAGGCCACUCAAAAUGCAUGAUUUUUGAGUGGAUGUUUUUGGAGCCUCUUAGAGGAUCAUCGUUCUGCUGCAUGACCCACGUUUGGCUGACGUUGAACUUUUCUACUCGAGAACAGGAUUCAUGGGUUCAUCACUUUGAGCCAGUGGCUCAGGUCCAGAAGCAGCAGAGAAAGCCUAGAUCAUCAUACUGACCCCACUGUGUUUGACAGUGAGUGAUAUUCAUGAAAUGCUGAGAUGCUCACCCUCCAAAAAUGUCAAUUUUGUCUCAUUUGUCUAUGGAAUAUUUUUCAAAAUCCUUGGGGAUCAUCGGGUUUUUCUUGGCUAAUAAUAGGCAGCUAUUAGUGUUCUCUUUAGUAAUCACUGGCUUCUUCCUGAAAUUGCCCCAUUUCCUUCCAGACUGUUUUUUUCUUCUCUUUAAUUGAGGGAUAAUGACUCUCACUGCUGUUUACUGAAAUCCUAAAGCAAUCGAUAUGGGUUUGUAACCCUUUCCAGACCGACAGAUGUCAAAAACUUUAUUUUUUUGUGUUUGUUUGUGCUUUUUAAAUCAAAUCUUAAGCUUUUAUUGUUUACGCGUACUUUGUACAAGUUCUACUUAAGUGAUUUCUUGACUCUACAAGUGGCUCAUCACAAAAUGCAUUUUUCACAGCCAUGUUGGUUUGCGUCGCUUUUUGUUCUUUCAAACAAAACAAAAAAACAAACAGUAUUUUGUAGUCAAUGGGUGACUUUUGUCUGAUACUAAAACACACAAGUGAUGGGGGGGGGGGGAGCUUCUUAUGUUGUUUUUUUUUUAAAUCAGCAAGGUUGCCAUUACUCCCUUCCCCACCAGUGUAGCGGGUUGUUUCGUUGACCGGCCAAUGAACGCAUGCUAACUGUAACCAGGAUCAUUUUCUAUAUUAGAUUUAGUUUAUUUAUUUUAUUUUCCAUUUUGUUAGAUUUAUUUUUUAAAGGGUUACUUAAACAUUUUUUCCUCUUCCCCUUAAUUUAUUUAACACCAACCAGGCGAGAACAAUAGUGUUCUCGCGUGGCUCUGACGUCAUGUGACAGCUGCACAUCAGCGUCCUAAAUUGACAGCACAGUUUAUAUGGCUGCAAAUCGCAGCUUAGGCAGGAAACGCUGCGGGACUCUGAUGUGCAGCCGGGUGAUUACUCAACCAAACGUUGCAAGAAUCACGAUUAGUCAAGAGGGAACUGGUGAGUGUUUGGUAGGGAGCUAGUAUGCUAGCACUAGUCUUCCAGCCUGUUGUGAUUGUAUAUUGAUUUGUUGCGUAACAAUAUUGGUUGCAUAAGUUAUAUUUACUUAUGAAACGUCUCCACAUGUAACUGAUUAAUUAGGUCUGUUUAUACAGGCCAGGUGCGUUGCAGAUCCCUCGCGCAAGGAGUGGCUGGAGGGAUCUUGACAAUAGCAAGGAUUGUCUGGUUUCACCGACCAGACUGGCGAGCUAAAAUAAGCAGGAUACCGAAACACAAGACUUAUCAUCUGGGAAUAUUCUUCCGACCUAAUUGGAGGAUCAGCUCAAGUCCCCAUUGAAGGAAGUGGAUUAUUUUGGUUUUUUUCCAUCAUCAACAAAGACUGGUGGACGUCCUUGGUAUAAGGAACUUUAACUUGUUUUUCCUUUACACUAUGGACUAAUGUGUAUAUAUAUUGUAUAUAUAUUGUAAAUACUAAAUACAACUCACCAAUUUGCACCAUC